rnacentral:rRNA from 1 species
CAGUCGCCACGGGAAUACGUAGGGUGCGAGCGUUAAUCGGAAUUACUGGGCGUAAAGCGUGCGCAGGCGGUUCGUUAAGACAGAUGUGAAAUCCCCGGGCUUAACCUGGGAACUGCAUUUGUGACUGGCGAGCUAGAGUAUGGCAGAGGGGGGUAGAAAUCCACGUGUAGCAGUGAAAUGCGUAGAGAUGUGGAGGAAUACCGAUGGCGAAGGCAGCCCCCUGGGCCAAUACUGACGCUCAUGCACGAAAGCGUGGGGAGCAAACAGGAUUAGAUACCCCAGUAGUCCCUGUCUCUUAUAC